GUCUAUGGCCAUACCACCCUAAACACGCCUGAUCUCGUCUGAUCUUGGAAGCUAAGCAGGGUCGGGCCUGGUUAGUACUUGGAUGGGAGAAAGGGAAAGUAAGAGCAAACC
rnacentral:rRNA from 1 species